UAUUGAGAGCCACAUUACAAUGAUAAGUU
rnacentral:sRNA from 1 species